rnacentral:rRNA from 1 species
UACGGAGGGUGCAAGCGUUAUCCGGAUUCACUGGGUUUAAAGGGUGCGUAGGCGGGCAUUUAAGUCAGUGGUGAAAUACCUGAGCUUAACUUGGGAACUGCCAUUGAUACUAUUUGUCUUGAAUGUCGUGGAGGUUAGCGGAAUAUGUCAUGUAGCGGUGAAAUGCUUAGAUAUGACAUAGAACACCUAUUGCGAAGGCAGCUAACUACGCGGAUAUUGACGCUGAGGCACGAAAGCGUGGGGAUCAAACAGG